rnacentral:lncRNA from 1 species
AACUUCGUUUUCCUCUUCCUCGUCUUCGGCAAUCCAAUCGUCAGACGAUGGCCGGAAAACCAAAGAUUGAACGAAGUCAAGCCCAAAGAAACCCAAAAGGUAAAUAAACGAUGCGAAAAACGCGAGAAUCGCGAUGAUCUCAGAAAAGGUGACGACAUGGAGAGGCGUGGAGGUACGGAUCUUCUCACGCCAACGGGAAAGAAGGAAAUAAACCACCGAGAAGAAGAGGGUAAAGAACACCGCAUUCGUCAGAUGAAAAGGAAGCGGCAAUGCGUCGGAGGCUUUAGUGGGAUCUUCCUCUAAAGGAAUCUUCUUCGUGGGCUUGAGAGAUUGAACUCGUUUAGUCGAAUACAGCCGGGGAGCCUCCAUUUUGGGUGUCGACGGCGGCGGAAACCCGGCGGUGGAGGAGGAGAAUAGAAGAGGAAUGAAAGUAAGAGAUGAUUUCAGUUAGUUUUACGAUUAUGGUGAAGGUGGAGCUUGAGAUGCUAGAGUUUAGGGAGGGAAGGGGAGUAUUUAUAGGAUAAAGAGUAAAGAGAGCGUGAGGAAAAAGGCGCGUGAAGUGAAGAUGGGGCAGUGUUUGGCACUUGUUAGUGUGGAGCUUUACCAAGAGAAGAGUCAAAGAAAGAAUUAUAGGGAUAGUGUUUGGAAGCGUGCAGUGCAUGGGAGCAACGUCGUCAGCACAUCCUGGCUGCUUCAUUUUCAUUUAGGGUAAACUACACAAUCAGUCACUAAAGUAUGGGUACGUUUUUGUUUUGAUCACUGAACUAAAAAAGUUACAAUUUUGUUACUGAACUAUUCAAAAGUUUCCAUUUAAGUCACUGAGCUGUUAAAAUCGAUGCUACACAGCUUUUUCUCUUCACACUGCCUACAUGAAUCGGAAGUUCUCUUUCCCUUUCUUUUUUACGAUUCAAUUUUUUUCUACAACUUUUUUCUUCGUUAGAAAAUGACCUUCAGAUCGACUUGAAUCUAAGAUAUGUUCUUUUACUUGCUAAUGGGUAUUGAUCCACUGUACCAGUCGUUGAGUCGUCACUUGGAGCUCGUUGACAGAAUUUUUAAAAAAAAAUAGUUAACAACCUAGUGACUUAAACAAUUUUUUUUGAAUAGUUCAAUGACUUAAAUGAAAAAUUUCAAAUAUUUUAGUGACCAAAUUGUAACUUUUUAGUUAAGUGACCAAAACGAAAACUUAUCCAUAAUUUAGUGACUAAUAAUAUAAUUUUCCAUUCAUUAUAUUUGGUCUUUCUCCCUAUUUUGAUAUUUUCUGUCACGUGUUUUUCAUUAUUGUAUGGGUUUAAUUAUUCCUUAUUUUGGGUUGUUUUUCAUAAUAAAUUAUCCAAAUAAAUAUUAACGCUGUUGUUAAGUUAUAUACAUUUUUGGGCAAAUGUCUAUUAAAAGAAAUAGAAAUGAAAGAAAGUCGUAUUUAUUAUUAGCAUAAUUUUUUUACCUUCCAAAUUUAUAAAAAAAUUAUUUAUUUUAUCUCUUUUAGUCUUUCAAUUUAUUUUUUUAUCAAAUUAUUUCAAAAUGAAUUAAAAAGUUAAAAUUCUUUAACUUUGUUGAUGUUACAUACACGUGGAUUACCAUCUAGAUAACACAUAAAUAUUUAAAAUCUUAAAAACAUUAACAAAUAUAUAUUUUUAUAAUUUUAUACUUUUAUAAUACUUUUAUUGGUUUUUAAAUUUUAAAAAUAGUUUUUAAAAAUAUAUUUUUAAAAUUUUAAAUUUAAAAAAAUUAAUUAAAUACCGGCGUGUUAUCCACGUGACAAUGCACGUGUAUUCAAGUAAGCAAAGUUAAACAACAUCAACUUUUUCAUUCAUUUUGAGGUAAUUUGAUAAAAAAAUUAGUUUAAGAGCUAAAAAAGGACAAAAUUAAAUAGAAAACUAAAAUGACAUUUUUUUGUAAAGUUAAAGAAUCAAAUAAAUUAUUAUGCCUUUAUUAUUUAAUAAAAUUUAUGCAAAGUAGGACUUUGACUUGAAUUCAUAAUUAAUUUUGAUUUUUUCCUUUUGCUCGUAAUUAAUUGGAUAAGUUUAUAAUUUAAAUUAAUAUGUAAAAAAAUUAAAAUAUAGAGCUUUCACAGCUCAUUUUUCCUUUUUAGAUUAUUAUUUUUUUGCAUGUUUAUUAAAUUAAAGUUCAAAUUUGACAUUUUUAAUAUUUUAAUAUAAUCAAAUUAGACCUAUUUUAUAUUAAAUAAAAUCUAACCCAUUCUUUAAUCCUUAAUUUUCACGUUUCUGUAUUUUUUUCCCAUCAAUUCAAGCAGCCUCUUGCUCUGUAGUCAUAUGUAUGUAUAUAUGACAAUAAUUAUUAUUCGGUUUACGUGGACUUUUAUACAAUAAUGAAGAUUUUUUUUAGGGUAAAUUAUUAAAACAUCAUUUCAAAAAUCAAGUGUAAUAAACAAAAUCCUUAAUCCAAUAAUAAUAAUAAUAAUAAAUUGGAUCUUUGAAUUAUCGUUUCUAUCACGACUCUUGAUAAUUAAUUACUGACAUGAUAAGUGAUGUGGUGGGUGACAUGAAACUUUUGAUGAUAUGGUGGUUGAUAUGGAGGACUUAAUUGAUUUUUGUUAUUAUUUUAGGAGGCUUAAUUGAUGUUUAAGGAUUAUAUAACAAUUCUUAAGAAAUUAUUGAAAAUUAUUAAAAAAACAAAAAUGGAAAGAAAAUAUUAAAAUUAUUAUAAAAUUUUAGCUAAAAGUUAUUAAAAUAUUUAAAAAAUGUUGAAAAUUAUACAACUAUAGAAUUUAUUAAAUAUCAUAAAAUUUUAAAACUAUUAUUAAUAUGUUAUGAAAAUAAUGGAAAUAUUAAAUUAAUAUUAUAAAAAAUUUAGAAAUGAUAGGAAAUGAUAUAAAAACAAUUAAAAUGAUAAAAAAAUAAAAAUAAAAAUUAUUGAAAGUAUAAAAAAUUUGAGUUAAGGUAGUGAUUGUAUAGACGAUAAAAAUUUUAUAUGCUUAAAAGUUAAUGACAUGGUUUAUUCUAUUCGUGCCUAAAAACAUUAAUUUAUAAAAUAAUUUAUUUUUAUAAAUAUUAAUAUAUACACUUUUUUAGAUUGAUAUGAUAGAAAAAUCGAAUCGAUUAAAAAUUUUACAAUAAAAUGAUUUAAAAAAAAAAUAAAGAAUGUUUUUUGGGCUACGUAAAAGAAUAUUGAUCACUCUAUAAGACUGGUUUUUUAUAUCCUUUUGCAUAUAUUUUAGUAGAUAAGGGAGAAAUUAUUUUCUUUACGCCUCUGGUUUCUAUACGGCUGAAAUUUUCAUUCAGUCAAUGACAUGAAUUUCAAAAUAGGAUGCCUAUUUAAUUUUUAUAAAUACAAAUGAUUGUACCCAAAUAUAAUAAUUUGCAUGCGUAUAUAUAUUUGAAUAAUUUCUGAUAGUUCUCUUUAAUAUUACUUAUAGUCUAUUCCCAGCUCAUAAAUAGGAGGAUAAUGUGAUUCAGCAUACUCAAACCCACGUCAUCUUGCAUUGAAAACAAUAAUCAUACUAAUCGAACUAAGACUCAAUCAACAAUUUGCAUAAUUCAUGCAAUUGGUGAUUAUUAUAAAACAACAUUCAAUAAAUAUUAAUAUUCAAAUGUUAAAUUUAUAAUUGUUUGUGCUAUUUUAGGUUCCAACAAGUUAAAAAUUCGUGUUGGGUUAGUUUUUUUUAUAUAUAUGUUUCUGGAGAUCUGUUAAAGGAUGCAGUCAAUUAUCAGGAGUCACUCUCGAAGGGUCUUAUCAUAUAAUAGAACACAAUAAUGGUAUUUGUUAAAAUUGGAAUCUAAGAUGGUGAAAAGGAGGAUAGCCACCUUUGACUUAACCUUUUGUACAUUAUGGAUGCGAUGAGUCUCUUGAUUGAUCGAAGUUUAUUGUCAGCCUUUUGUACAUCACAGAUGCAGUGAGUCUCUUGACAGAUAUUUCUUGGUUGACUGGAGUUUAUUGUCAGGUUGGUUUGAUGAUGGCACGAUUAAGAUACAAUUUUCAAUGGUUUGAUCAAGAUGGUACAUUUUUUGUUUGUUUUUGAAUUCUUUUAGAGUUACGAAUAUUUUACAAACAUAUAACAUAUGAGCAUCAAUUUAUAAUUUAUUAUAUCCCAUAUUUUUAUAUUCUUAUUAUUCAUGAUUGCUAUUAAUGAUAUGUUUUCUUUGUACAUAUAUGAAAUAGACGAUAAGAUUGAAGUAAUUUCUUUUUCCAAAAUAAUAAGCAUGCAUGAGAAUUGUUCAUCGCCAUGUGCUAAAGACUUGGACUGUUUGUCAAAGUUCUCUUCAAAAAAAUCAUAUAACUCACAAUGAAAGUUUAUAUAUAUAUAUAUAUAUAUAUAUAUAUAAGCAUAGUCAGGCCAACCAAUGUAGAAAAAAACUAACAUGAUAUCAUCUUUUCUUAUUGCCCAGUAUUUAUUUAGCAAAUAUUGACUGUAAUAUUGUCAUGAUUAGACCAUAUUAUUUUUGGACAAGAACAAGGUCAUUUCCAGUAAAUUCAAAAUAAAAUAUUAACUUAGUUUUAAAAUUAGAUUAAAAAGACAAUGUAACCCAAAAAGUUCAAAUAAGCCCCUAUUUUAAUAAAAUCAGUAGGUUCAAAUUUAAAAUUUCGAACAAAAUUAGGUGUCUAUAUAGAUAUUUUGUUAAAUACCAAAAUUUCCAAUGAAUUAUCAAAAUUUCUAAACUUAUACCAGAAUACCAAAAUUUCUAAAGUAAUAGUUGAUAUACCAAAGAUAUUACGUUAUAUGCCACAAUUUUAAGGGAAUACCAAUAUUUCUAAGCAAUCUCAUUAGAAAUUUUGGUAUACCAAAUCAUGUUACACAAACUUUUACCAAAAUUUCUAAGAGUUCAACAUUUUAGAUCACAAUUUCAAAGUAAAUAUCAAUAUUUCUAAGGAACCUCAUUAGAAAUUUUGGUAUACCAAAAUCAUGUUGCACAAGCCUAUACCAAGAUUUUUAAUGAAAUGCUAAAAUUUCUAAGCGCAUAUCUUUAGAUAUUUUGGUAUACCCAAAUCGCGUUAUAGAAGCUUUUACCAAAAUUUCUAAAAGAAUAGUAAUAUUUCUAAGGAACCUUGCUAGAAAUUUUGGUAUAUCAAAAUCAUGUUACACAAGCCUAUACCAAAAUUUUCUAGUGAAAUACCAAAACUUCUAAGCACAUAUCUUUAGAUAUUUUAGUAUAUGCUUCAAUUUCUAAGGGUACCAAUAUUUCUAUGGAACUUUGUCAAAAAUUUUGGUAUGCCAAAAUCAUUUUACACAAGAUUUUACCAAAAUUUCUUAGAGCUUAACCUUAGAUAUUUUGGUAUGUAGCGCAAUUCUUAAGGGAAUAUCAAUAUUUCUAAACAACCUCGUUAGAAAUUUUGGAAUACUAAAAUUAUGUUACACAAGCCUAUAUUAAUAUCUUUAAUGAAAUAUUGAAGUUUUUAAGAGCUUAUCCUUAGAUGUUUUGACAUAUACCACUUUUUGUAAGGGAAUACCAAUAUUUCUAUAGAACUCUGUUAAAAAUUUUAGUAUACCGAAAUCUAGAUUUACAAACUUAUAUCAAGAAUUCUAACAAAAUACCAAUAUUUCUAAUAGCAUAUCCUUAAAUAAUUUGAUAUAUUCCAAAAUUUAUAAUGGAAGACCAAAAUUUCUAUAACUUUCAAUGAACUACAGUUCUUGGUAAAUCUAUAUACCUAUAUAUAUAUAUAUAUAUAUGAAAGGAAAAACAUCCUCCUUUUCUUGAUAGAUGGCACACCUAAAAUCAAUGGCGGACGUUAUAGAUGGCACACCUACAAUCAAUGGCGGAGUCAAGUAGAGGCUUAGGGGACCAUGACCUCCCAAAGUUUAAUUUUUUUUAAUUUAGUCCUUUGUAAAUAUACUAUGGCCCUUCCUAAAAUAUAAGUAGAUCCUCCUAAAGUUUAAGAUUUUUGCAAUUUCCCCCUUUAUAUAUAUUAUGGUUCUCCUAAAAAUAUAAAUACUCCCCUCCAAUAUUUUUAUAGUAUUAAAAAUAAAAUUAAAAAAAUUAUUCUUGAUAAAAACAAAGAAAAAUAUUCUUGAAGAUGCUAAAUUACUCAUGAUGACUUUUGAAUGAUAUUUUUGUUAAAAAAUAAUAAAUCAAUUGUUAUAUUGAAAUACUCCUUCUUUUGAAUUGAUUGUUUAUAUGUUUAAAUCGAUUGUUACGUAACACGUCUAAUUUUAGCAUGAUCCCCUCCAAAAUUAACAUCUUGGCUCCGCCACUGCCUACAAUACUCCUUUUAUUUUGCAUUCAAUAAAAAAAGUUAAAUUUCAAUUUCGGUUCAUCUAAUAUGCCUAAACUUGAGAUUUAAUAUAUAUACUUUAAUUUCUAACAUAAUUUGGUUUCUAUAUAUUAUUAUAAUAUUAUUAAUCAGUUCAAAUAGUUAAUAUUAUUCACUUUUCAAUUAAAAUAUUAUAUGGUUAUAUAUAAUUUGAAUACCUUAAUAGUCUUGGAGGCUAACAUACAGCUUUUUGUUUCAUUUAAGUUCGUGUCAUUUUUUUAACAUUAUAAGAUAAUGGUCAAAUUUUAUUUUUGGCCUCUAGACUAUGUUAAAACUUGAGAUUAAUCUAUAUACUUUAAUAUUUUACAUAAUUUGGGCUAUCUACUUUUAUAAUGUCAUUAGCUGGUCUAAAUAAUUAAUAUUAUUAACUAUUUUAAUUAAAAUGUUGGGUAAAUUUUUCUUAAGAACAUUAUUUCAAGAAGAAAAAAAUUAUUUUAUCGAAUUUAAAUGAGUGUUUUUAAGAGAAACUCCUAAUCAAUAUUUUUAACAUUAUUUUUAUUGUUACAUGACUAUUAAGGGAAUCUUUUUAUUUUAAAAUGUCCACCAGAGAAUUUAAUAUAAUAAUUUUAUCGAUGGUAACAAUUGAGCUAAAAUUUUUAAUUUGAAAAGUAGAUAAUUAUGUUCUUAAAAAUAAAAGUAAGACUAAAUUUCAAAUGAACAAAGUGUAUCAGGUCUUAGAGUAUAUUUUAAUCUUCAAAUUUUUACUUUAUAAUUUCACACAAAUAAAUAAUCAACUUAACGUGAAGCAUGAGAUGAGAACCUUAUUAGUAUUUUUCAAAAGUUGCUUAAUGCGCUUUAAAAGUUAUCAAGUAUUUUACAUUAAGGCAAAAAAAAAGAGAGAGAGUAAACUACACUCAAUUUCACUAAACUACUAGUAAAUUUACAUUUAGGUUACUCAACUUCAGAAAGUUAUAAAAUGAUCAUUGAACUAUUUGAAAGUUUUCAUUUAACUUGGCGGACUGUUAAAAUCAUUGAUGUAUGGCCUUUCCUAUUUGCAUCGCAAACACCAAUUGAAAGCUUUCCUUCCCUUUCUCUUCUACAUUUCAAUUUUUUUUCAUGAAAUAACUUUGAACGUGACAAAUCUGUAAACAAAAAUCUAAACAGCUUUCUUCUUUAAUCUCUAACACUAAUCGUCAGAUCAACUUGAAUAUAAUGCAUGUUCUUCUACUCAUCAAUUGGUACAGAUCCAUCGUACUGAUCGUUGAACCAUUGCUUGGAGCUCGCUAGCUUGGCCUUUUAAAAAAAAAAAAACCCUUUAUAACCCAAUGACUUAAAUGAGAGUGACCAUUCUGUAAUAUUUUGAAGUUGAGUGAUUUGAAUAUAAACCUACUAAUAGUUAUCUUUGGUUUAGUUUACCCAAAAAUAUAUAUUAUAUAUAGUUAAUAUAUGUCAUAAGUCCCUAUACUAUUCAUAAAAUUGAAAUUUAAUCCAUCUUAAUUUCUAGAAAUUUAAUCCUAUACUUUAAAGAUUUUUCAAAAUUCAAAUUCAAUUGUUAACAUUGUUAAAAUUAUUUUAUUAAAUUCAUGUUCGUUAUAACAUUAUAUUUCUAUCAAGUGAGUUUUUUUUUAAAUGUCACGCCAAUAAAUUUUAAAAAAAAAUAAUGUUAACAAGUGUACCAAUAUUUUGAAAUCUCAAGAGUAGAAGAAUUAAAUUCUUGAAAAUAAAAAGCAUAAGAACUAAAUUUGAAAUUUAUGAAGAGUACAAUGAUUUAUGACAUAUAUAAACCUAUAUAUAAUAAAAGAAAGGAAAAAACAAAAAUACCAAAUAAAUACCAACAAGUGUUAAGGACAACAUAUCGCAUAGGAGACACAAGUUUAAAUUUUGAACACAAUAUAGUUAGGAGAAGCAGCCAUAAACCCAAACACAAACAGUAAAAGGGACAUUUAAAAUACCAAAAAAAUUACAAAAUAAAUAAAAAAAAACUACAAAGGGAAGUUUAUGCUGCAAGAGAUGAAACGCUGUGGACCAACUAAUUUUUACUCGUCAACUAAUUGGGUAUAGAUCCUUUGUUCCAUAUUCAUCAUCUACCAUUGUAAGAUAUGGCUUCCAAGGCCUCCCUGACGGUAUCAGAGUAAUUCUGUGCCUCUCUAAUGAAAUUAAUUGAUGACGGUUGGCCGGCUCGAAACACAACCUCAUUUCUCAUUUUCCGGAUAAUAAACAGACACCCAAAAGUUAAGACUGUAUCCUGAUCACUGAAGACAACCAGUGAGAGAUAUUAUACCGUGACAAUAAAUGGGAUGUACAUCUAAGCUAGACACAAGGAGAUAUGUCUCCUUAGUACUUUCUACCAUUGGAGAUUGCAACUUUACCCCCAAAUAUCAGACUAUCGUUACGUUUUCUCUAUGAAGAAGCCUUGGACACAUCCUUAGUUGACCUAUUGUACUUCAUAUGGCUCUUAACUAAUUGUCCUGCUGCAAUUGCAGACAUAAGCGACAGCUCCCCUGCAAGAACAGCAGACGCUACAAUGGUUGCCAGCGUCCUAGAGUUUGCUCCUGGUGUCUCUUUGCUUGCACCCUUCACUCCAAGUAAGUUCAAACAGGCUGAUUGAGAUGCAAGCUGAGUUCCACCACCAACAGUCCCAACCUAAAAGAUACAGCAACACAGAUUAUUAGAGACUAACAUAAAUACCCAGAUUUUGUUUUGGCAACGAAAGUCCUUGUGUUGGAUAAUCAGACAGCAACACUAUCAAUUACCUCGAUGGAAGGCAUUGUGACAGAGACGUGGAGGUCCUUUCCAUCAUUAACAGCUUCCAUCAUCGUGAUGCAAUGCGAGCUCUCGACAUUUUGAGCCGGAUCUUGGCCGGUAGCUAUGUAGAUUGCAGCAACGAUGUUACUGGCGUGAGCGUUGAAUCCACCCAGAGCUCCAGCCAUAGCUGAUCCAGUAAGGUUCUUAAGCAUGUUAAGCUCAACGAGAGAUUCCACACUUGUCUUCAAGACCUUCCUAACCACAUCACCCUUAAUGGUGGCUUCACAGACAACAGAUUUGCCUCGUCCUUCAAUCCAAUUUACCGCAGCCGGUUUUUUGUCGGAACAAUAGUUUCCUAUAUGCGCAAAUUCAUAAAUAUCAGUGAUCCUAUGUCGGAACAGUGAAAGACAUAAUUACAAGCCUAUACAAAAAACUGAAACUCACCAGAGAUGCCGAUGACAUCCAUGUCAGGGAAAUCAGUUUGAAGGAAAUCCAAAACGUUUUGCACUCCCUUGGAAACCAUGUUCAUCCCCAUAGCAUCACCUGUACUGCAAGUGAAUCUAAUAUACAGAUUCUUUCCAGCAAUUGCACAUUUGAUACCUUGGAGCCUGCCAAAUCUACUUGAUCUGCAACCACCAAAAAGCCAAAAUUUUCAAUAUUAGCUUGAAUUUUAAAUCCAUCAAUAUGGAGUUCUAGAAAUAUCAACACAAACCUGUUGAAAACAACAGACAAGGUCUCGAAAUUAUCAGGGUCCUCCAAAUACAACUUCAAAUCAGCUGCCCUUUUCGCAGUACCGAACCUUACACAUGGAGCUCUAGUCAUACCAUCUUUCAAUAGAACACUUGUAGCUCCACCAGACAAAUGAAUAGCCUUACAGCCCCUAUUAGUGCUAGCCACCAAGCACCCUUCCGUGGUUGCCAUAGGAACCGAGUACUCUCUUCCAUUAACCAACAAAGGCCCGGAAAUUCCAACGGGAAUUUGCACGUAGCCAACCGGCAUCUCACAACACUGCCCCAAAAUCGACUCGUAAUCAAACCCAUCCAAGGGCAAUCCUGAUAACGACUUCCCUGUUAAUCUUUGCAACGCUUCCCGCCUGAUUGCGGCCGCCCUCUUGCAAUCACCCAAUUUCGAUUCCAAGGAAUACGAAGGGGUUGUACCAGCCACUACAGAUUUAAUUAUUUCUUCAUCUUCCUCCGUUAGUACCGUCACAGGCUUUUCAUCGAACACCUUCUGAACGGUCACGAUUGGUGCCGCAGGAGGCAGAGGUGGAAGCGAACAAUCGAGAGCUUGCCCGCAAGGGACCUUACGGGCAUCUUCCUUUGCAAGCAGAACUUCAUCAUCCUCUUCCUCGUCCUCGGCAAUCCAAACGUCAGGCGAUGGUUGGAAAACCAAAGAUUGAACGAAGUCAAUCCCAAAGAAACCCAAAAGGUAAAUAAAGGACGCUAAAAAUGAGAGAAUGGCGAUGAUCUCGGAAAAGGUGACGACAUGGAGAGGUGUGGAGGUACGGAUCUUCUCACGCCAACGGGAAAGAAGAAAAUAAACCACCGAGAAGAAGAGGGUGAAGAACAGGGCAUUCGUUAGGUGCAAGGGAAGCGGCAAUGCGUCGGAGGCUUUACCGUGAUCUUCCUCUAAAGGAAUCUUCUUCGUUGGCUUGAGAGAUUGAACAGGUUUAGUCGAAUACAGCCGGGGAGCCUCCAUAUUGGGUGUCGACGGCGCGGAAGCCCGGCAGUGGAGAAGGAGAAUAGAAGAGGAGUGGAAGUGAGAGAGGAUUUCAGUUAGUUUUACGAUUAUGGUGAAGGUGGAGUUGGAGAUGCUGGAGUUUAGGGAGGGAAGGGGAGUAUUUAUAGGACAGAGAGUAAAGAGUGGUGGAGCGUGAGGAAAAAGGCGCGUGAAGUGAAGUGUUGGGCCCGUGUGAGUGGGGAGUCAAAGAAAGAAUUUGAAGGGCAGUGUUUGCGUGCAGUGCAUGUGCAUGGGGGCGCAUUGCAUUUUCCUUUCGUUUGGUCUUAUCUCCGUUAACUGCUAUUUUGUAUCUCUUUUAAUUAUUCCUUAUUUUGGGCAUUCAUUAAUUAAUAUGAGACCAUAUUUAAACUUUUGAUGAAUGGUAGUGAUAAAUAUAUAUAAUCUCGAAUAUAAAUCGUAAAAUUAACAUUAAAUAAAUAAAUAUAUAUAAUAUAUGUGAUAAAAUUUAUCAUUAGUAAUAUAGAUAAAGAUCACAGUGGAAUUUACUUCUUCGAUAUUUACAUAUUAUUAGUUUUAUAAUUGUUUAUACAAUGUUUAAAAUUAUAUAUAGCUCCUCUUAAAGGAUAAUGCGCACUCACUGAGUUAGGACUCAAUCGAUAACAAUCUUACAAAUUUUAUUUUAUAUAAAAAGAAGAGCUUCCAUUUUUUAUUAAAAAAUUACAGAUACAAUUGUGUUUAUUUUGAACAAAUGAAUUAUUCAUAUGAAUAUACAUUUUAGGGUAAAUAUUUAUAAAAAUUAAUUUUUUAAACUGGUAUGGUGAUUAACUAUUUAUAUUUAGGGUUUUGCACAGUUUUGUAUACGAUGGUGUAUUAAAUCCUGUGAAAAUAUUUCAAUGGAGAAGGGAGAAUUCAGUCUAUGACAUGAAAUUCAAAAUAGGAUGCCUGCUUUAUUAUUAUAAAUAUUGAUUCAUGCCGUCACCAUUAUUAUUUUAAAUCCUCUAAAUGAUUUAUAUAUUUAUAUAAUUUUGGAUAAUUUAAUUUAUCUUUUAAUGGAAAUGUUAAAAAAAUAAACUAUUAAAAUAGUCACUUUUGUUUACCUUAUAUUACAUUUUAGUUGUUGUAACAUUUUAGUCACUGAGCGGUUAAGUGUCAUUAAUAAUAUAAUGGUAAGCUAAUAUGGCAUGUUAAAUCAUCAUUUCAAACAAAAAAUUCAGGUUAAAUUAUACAAUUGGUCCAAUAUUUCUCUGUUUUGAACAAUUUUUUUCUUUAUUUUCCAUUCUCUUUUAUUUCUCUCUUUGUUUUCCUCCCUUUUUCAUUUUUUUAACUUAAUUUUUCUAUGUUUUCUAUUUGUUAAAACUAGUCCCUAUACUUUUAUUUUUUUGAACAUUUUAAAAUUUUUAAUUUUCCUUUUCUUCUUCUCCUUUAGUUUUAACAAAUGAAAAAUAUAGAAAAAUUACAUUAAAAGAGAUAGAAAAGGGAGAAAAACAGAGGAAGAAGUAGAAGAGAAAGAAAAAUAAAGAAAUUAAAAUGCUCAAAACGAAAAUAAUAUGGGGACCAAAUAUAUAAUUUAACCUAAAAUUUUUGUUUGAAAUGAUGAUUUAAUGUGCCACAUCAGCUUACCGUUACAUCGUUAACGGCUCAGUGACUAAAAUGUUACAACACGUUAACAUAAAUGACUAAAAUGUAACAUUUCAAACAUAACUGACUAAAAUAUAAUAAACUAAAGCAAACAAAAAAGUGACUAUUUUGAUUGUUUCCCUUUAAUAAAUGGUUCAUUACAGUAAUAUAUUAAAUUUAUUCUUAUUUUGUAUUAUUUUUCACAUGUGUAAUAUUCUGAUUAUUUUUUAAUGUUUAAUGUACUAACGUUUAAAUUUAUUCCAUCAUAGCCCAAGAAAAAUAAUAAGAAAUAGACGAUAAGAUUGAAGUAAUAUUUUUUCCAAAAUAACAAGCUUGCAUUCAUGCAUGAGAAUUAUUCAUCACCAUGUGCUAAAGACUUGGACUGUUUGUCAAAGUUUUCUUCAGAAAAAUCAUAUAAUUUAUAAUGGAAGUAUAAGCAGAGUCAGACCAACCAAAGAAGAAUCAUGAUAUCAUCUUUUUUUAUUGCCCAGUAUUUAUUUAGCAAAUAUUGACCGUAAUAUUGUCAUGGUCAGACCAUAUUAUUUUUGCACAAGUGACGCACGAAUAUUCAGUGUAGACUUGCUCAAAACAGUAGGAAAUGAUGAACAAGGUCAUUUCGUAGAAAUUGCAGUCAAUGCUCAUAUUUUGGCUUAAUCCAGCUGGAGUUUAGGUAAAAAUUGAUUCAAAAUUGGAUAACUAUAUAUAUAAUAUUGAUAUCAUAAAUAAGUUAUUUUAAUCCAAGUCAGUUCAAUCCAUGAAUACCUUUAAUAUGUAUACAUGAUAUGAUAUGUGAAAAAUGAGCUCAACUCAUGAAUAUUUCUCAUAUGUAUGCAUGCUUGAUGCAUGAUAUGUGGAAAAUAACUUAACUUGUUGUAUAGGUUUUGUACGGAGUAUGGACGGCAUUUAUAAGUUCAUUUUUGGAACUUGUAUUUUAGAGUGCAGUUGAGAACGUAAAUAAGUUUGUUGAAGUUUUCAGGGGGAGAAUUUAGAGGUGAGUAAUCUAGAUCUUUUGGUACAAAGUGAGGUUGCUCUAGCAGGAUGUGAUAAGACUUGAAUCAUUUGGUGUAUUGGGUUAAAAGAUAGUGGAUUUACUUACUAAGUUAGGCUUCACAAAUAAAGUAAAACUAAACUACGUAAACAACCUUUUGUGUUCUUGUUUUGUUGUUUUUGUCACAAUGCUACCUUCAAUUGGCAUAUCGCAAUUGAAGAAGCAAAAGUUUGUCUGGAAGAAGAAAGAUCCUAAGUGCUUGAUGUACAGUGUUUCGGUAAUGGUUGCUUUCAUCACAUGAUAGGUAAUCAUGCAUACUUUUCUAAUUUUGGAGAUCAUCAUAAGGGUCUAGUCACAUUUGGUGAUGGUAAGAAAUGUCAUAUCCAUGGAAACGGAACACUUAAUGUCCUUGGAAUGCUAAAGUUGAAGAAUGUGUUGAAAGGUCAUAUUGUUAAUGACUUGAAAGCUAAUUUGGUGAGCAUUAUCUAAAUGUGUGACUAAGGCAUGAUUAUCAAUUUCACCAAAGACAAGUAUCUGGUUUCAUCAAAGUCUUAUGAGAAGACUAAUGUUUCUAACUUAGAGUUGUGGCAUGAGAAACUUAGCCACAAUCAUUACAAAGGGCUCCGAAGAUUGGUUUGAUAUGUUGCUGGAAUAGGCAACCCAAAACUAGGUGGUGUCAUUCCUAAAGUCCGUUAUGGAUGCUUGAAAGUUAGAGAGGAUCACAUGGAGAAUCAUCAAAGGUUGUCACAUAUCCAAAUUAUUGCAUCUCUCAAGUUACUACACAUAGAUCUCAUUGGACCUAUGUGAAUCGAGAGCAUUGGAGUAAACCGUUAUGUCCUAGUCUAUGUAGAGGACUUUUCAAGGUACACAUGGGUGAGAUUUUUUAGAGAAUUCUAACACAUCUAAAGAAUUCAGGAAACUAUGCAGAAGAUUUUGUCAAUUUUUAUGACGAGGAAAUGAUCAAACUAAGGCACCGCAAUAUAAUGGAGUUAUGGGACACAAGAACCGUACCAUAUAGGAGAUGGCAUGAGUGUUGCUUAACAACAAAAGAGUUACUCAUAAGUUUUAAGUUGAGGCAGUGAACAUUGCAACCUAUAUCUUUAACAAAGUUCUUACUAGGCGAAAAACUCACAUGACACUUUGUAAGAUGUGAAAUGGGAGGAAGCCAAAUGUCAAGUAUUUCCAUGUGUUUAGAAGUACCUUGAUAGGUGUCGAAUCCACCAAAAAUGAAAUCCUACCCCUAAACAGGAUAUAAAUUAGAAGUUUAAGGAGUAAGGUCGAUCCCACAAGGACUAAUUUAUAUGAACUUGUAGUUUGUUAUAACCAGGACGUAUCGUAAGCAGUUUUGUGCCCAUGAUUUAUGCUAACCUAUACGAAAUAGAAAGAAGGAUUAAAUAUGAAUGUAACUAAAUGUCAAAAAUUAAAUAAUAAUAAUGCAAUAGAAAUAAUCAAAUCAGAAUUAAAAUUGAAUAACCUAAUAAGAUGGAUUUUGACUCUGGCUUUGGAUUGAUCCCAAACAAUGGAUUUUUUCCUCCAAUUGAUAAGUCGGGUAUAGUGACCAAGGAACAACCUCAAAUACCAACCCUUUCGUAUGUAAAUUAACUGCGGGAACAACUCUAAGUUAACCCGUACCAGGUAAAUAACACUGAAAGCAACUUCCAUGAUUUCAUUCCUUGACAACCUCGCGAACUAGAGGGACUCAGCUCAAAUUGACAGCCUCAAUUGCAUGGGUCCACACGCCUACUACCUUUUCCAUCUUUGAUUUUCCAAGUUCUUUUGAAGCAAAAUCCAAGGUUUGUUUGAGCCACAGAGCAUCUUGAAAGAGAAGUUGCUAAGUUGAAAUUCUCUCCAAAAUGGCUCGAGGGAAAACAUGAAUCAAUAGCCCCAACUGAUCUAACUGAAGGAGAAGAAAAAGUUGAAUCUGACCUUGAAACUGUAGCAAUUGCUCCUAUAGUGACUAUUUCAGCAGGUCUUGUGAGCAACCUAGCAGGAUUCAAUCAAAGGAUGGUUAGCAUUUUACUGCUUCUAUUGACUCUCAAAAUUGAUUCAUCUCCAAACUUCGAACUGAAAUCCAAGUCAUUCAACAGAUUCGAGAUCAAGAAAUUGCUUUCCGCAAUGAUUUAUUAACUCAUUCCGAACAAUAAUGUUUGACAUAUUUUUAAAAAAAAGGGAAGUAAAGAGGAAGGAGAUGAUGGCUAAGAUGGUGGCAAGUUGAUUGCUCCUACUAAUGGGAGUUUAUUUUACUUUUGGUUAUUACAAGCUUCAUUUCAUUUUGGGUAUUUCUUUUGAAAUAUUUGUAAUGAUGAACUUUUCUAAUGGAUGGAUGGAUUUUAUUUUGGCGUACAAACUCUUAUCUUCAUCUUACUUAGAUAUAAUUUUAGUAUUUAGAUUGUUGAUACAAAUACUUAAAAGGCAUUAAUGGUUGAUUUACUUGAUUAUGUUUUAAGUUAAGUGUGACGGAUAAGGGGAUUGUACUAAGGGGAAGCAUUUUUUGUUACUGUUGAUAAGCUUCCUAAUUUGAAUUGGUUUUGUUCAAAAAAUUGUAGAAGCAAGUUUCAAAAGUGGCCAGCAAAGUGCCAACGGUAGUGGCCACUAUAGAUAGCAUUGCAAUAGACUCUAUUACUAGCCAUGUUUAGAGUUAGCUUGAAAACGAUGAUGAUAUUAUGAAAAUAUGAAAGUCCAUAUUAUAUUAGUUUUUAUUAUUUAUUGCAUUUUGCUAGUUUAGCUGGUGACACGUUCAAUAAAUAUAAUUUUAAAGGUAUUUUUGUUUUUUUAACUGCAAACUGUUUGGGCAAUAAAUUUAUUUCAAAAGUUGCUUUCAAAUGCUUUAAAAGUUACGGUGUAGUUUACACUAUUCUCAGGUUACAUGGCCUGAAUUUGUCUUUAAAAGAAAGGAAAGAACAAAAUACAAAAUGAAUAAAGAAAAAUCUUUCUGUUCUGUAUAAUCUAUCUACUCCCAUUUACCCGUAGGGUGGCGUUCUUCCGUUCAAUUUCAAUGGCAUUGAUAGAGGGCAGCUUCCACAAGAUGAGUUUAAUCAUCGCCAACUAAUCGUGAAUAACCAAUAUUAAUAAAUAAUCUCCAUUCUUCUCAACCGCCAUAACUGCUCCAUCAACCUGCUAUGUCGGGUGAAAUGGGAACGUACACCUGAGCUACACAAAGGGAUAUAUCUCCUUAGUAAGUUUCUACCAUGGGAGAUUGCCACUUUACCCCCAAAUAUAAGGCCAUCAUUACGUUUUCUCUAUGAAGAAGCCUUGGACACAUCCUUACUUGACCUAUUGUACUUCAUAUGGCUCUUGACUAGUUGCCCUGCUGCAAGUGCUGACAUGAGUGACAGCUCCCCGGCAAGGACAGCACCUGCUACAAUGGUUGCCAGCAUUCUAGAGUUUGCUCCUGGUGUCUCUUUGCUUGCACCCUUCACUCCAAGUAAGUUCAAACAGGCUGACUGAGAUGCAAGCUGUGUUCCACCACCAACGGUACCAACCUAAAAGAUACAGCAACAGAUAUAAUUAGGGGGAUUCAUAAAUACCCAGAUUCUGUUUUGGUAAUGAAAAUCCUUGUGAUGGAUAAUCAGACAGCAACAUAAUCAAUUACCUCGAUGGAAGGCAUUGUGACAGAGAUGUGGAGGUCCUUGCCCUCGUUAACAGCUUCCAUCAUAGUGAUGCAAUGAGAGCUCUCAACAUUUUGAGCCGGAUCUUGGCCCGUAGCUAUGUAGAUUGCAGUGACGAUGUUACUGGCGUGAGCAUUGAAUCCACCCAGAGCUCCAGCCAUAGCUGAUCCAGUAAGGUUCUUGAGCAUGUUAAGCUCAACGAGAGAUUCCACACUUGUCUUCAAGACCUUCCUAACCACAUCACCCUUAAUGAUGGCUUCGCAAACAACAGAUUUGCCUCGUCCUUCAAUCCAAUUUACAGCCGCUGGUUUUUUGUCGGAACAAAAGUUUCCUAUAUGGACAAAUUCAUAAAUUUCAGUAAUCCUAUAUAGAACAGUAAAAACAUAGAACACAAUUACAAGUCUAUGGAAAAGUGAAACUCACCAGAGAUGCCAAUGACAUCCAUGUCAGGGAAAUCAGUUUGAAGGAAAUCCAAAACAUUUUGGACUCCCUUGGAAACCAUGUUCAUCCCCAUAGCAUCACCUGUACUGCAAGUGAAUCUAAUAUACAGAUUCUUUCCAGCAAUUGCACAUUUGAUACCUUGGAGCCUGCCAAACCUACUUGAUCUGCAACCACCAAAAAGUCAAAAUUUUCAAUAUUAGCUUGAAUUUUAAAUCCUUCAAUAUGGAGUUCUAGAAAUAUCAACACAAACCUGUUGAAAACAACAGACAAGGUCUCGAAAUUAUCAGGGUCCUCCAAAUACAACUUCAAAUCAGCUGCCCUUUUCGCAGUACCGAACCUUACACAUGGAGCUCUUGUCAUACCAUCUUUCAAUAGAACACUUGUAGCUCCACCAGACAAAUGAAUAGCCUUACAGCCCCUAUUAGUGCUAGCCACCAAGCACCCUUCCGUGGUUGCCAUAGGAACCGAGUACUCUCUUCCAUUAACCAACAAAGGCCCGGAAAUUCCAACGGGAAUUUGCACGUAGCCAACCGGCAUCUCACAACACUGCCCUAAAAUCGACUCGUAAUCAAACCCAUCCAAGGGCAAUCCAGAUAACGACUUCCCUGUUAAUCUUUGCAACGCUUCCCGCCUGAUUGCGGCCGCCCUCUUGCAAUCACCCAAUUUCGAUUCCAAGGAAUACGAAGGGGUUGUACCAGCCACUACAGAUUUAAUUAUUUCUUCAUCUUCCUCCGUUAGUACCGUCACAGGCUUUUCAUCGAACACCUUCUGAACGGUCACGAUUGGUGCCGCAGGAGGCAGAGGUGGAAGCGAACAAUCGAGAGCUUGCCCGCAAGGGACCUUACGGGCAUCUUCCUUUGCAAGCAGAACUUCAUCAUCCUCUUCCUCGUCCUCGGCAAUCCAAACGUCAGGCGAUGGUUGGAAAACCAAAGAUUGAACGAAGUCAAUCCCAAAGAAACCCAAAAGGUAAAUAAAGGACGCUAAAAAUGAGAGAAUGGCGAUGAUCUCGGAAAAGGUGACGACAUGGAGAGGUGUGGAGGUACGGAUCUUCUCACGCCAACGGGAAAGAAGAAAAUAAACCACCGAGAAGAAGAGGGUGAAGAACAGGGCAUUCGUUAGGUGCAAGGGAAGCGGCAAUGCGUCGGAGGCUUUACCGUGAUCUUCCUCUAAAGGAAUCUUCUUCGAUGGCUUGAGAGAUUGAACAGGUUUAGUCGAAUACAGCCGAGGAGCCUCCAUAUUAGGUGUCGACGGCGGCAGAAGCCCGGCAGUGGAGAAGAAGAAUAGAAGAGGAAUGGAAGUGAGAGAGGAUUUCAGUUAGUUUUACGAUUAUGGGGGAAGGUGGAGUUUGAGAUGCUGGAGUUUAGGGAGGGAAGGGGAGUAUUUAUAGGAUAGAGAGUAAAGUGUAGAGAGAGCGUGAGGAAAAAGGCGCGUGAAUUGAAGUGUUUGGCACUUGUUAGUGCGGAGCUUUACCAAGUGAAGAGUCAAUGGAAGAAUUUCAAGGGAUGUGUUUGGAAGCGUGCGUGCGUGCGUGCAGUGCAUGUGCAUGGUGGGGCAUUGCAUAAUCCUUUCAUUUGUUCUUUUCUCCUGCCACAUUUGGAGAAAAUGCUGAUUUUAAAAAAAUAUUCAGGAAAAUAUUUUUUUUCCAAUAUUUAAAAAAAUAAGUUGAUUUUGAAAAAAAUAAUAAAGCAUAUUUUGCAGAAAUUGUUUUUUUGCUGAAAAAGCUCGUAGGAUUAGUUUCUACUUUUUUAAUACAUUAGCUCAUUUGGUUAGAUGAUUAAAUGUUAAUUAUUUUGUCUUUUAAGUCUCGAGUUUGAUUCUUCUCUUACUCACAUUUGUAUUCUUAUUUCAAGUCGUUUCAAGCUUUGCUUUUAUUUUUAAUUAUGGUUUUUAACACAUUAACUCCUUUUGUUAGAUUGUUAAAUAAUAGUGAUUUUUUUUGUGAAAGAAAGGAAACAAUACAAGCUAAAUCCUCAAAGGACGGUCCACAAACAAUCUUAAGCCUAGACUUCUAAUGCAAACAAUCUUGGCUAGGCUAUCCGCAAUUAGAUUAUUUCCCUUGGGAACAUGCUGAAUUUUCCACUGCUCUAGCUUUUUAAGCGUCUGAUGAAUUCUCCUAAUAAUGGUAGAAUUGGAGAUACCCGUAUCAUCUUCCAUGAUAUCUUUAAUAGCUUCAAUACUAUCAGUUUGAAUAAGGACAUUUUGGAAACACCUAUCUGCCAUAAGAUUCAGCCCAUCCAAAAACCCCCAGAGCUCUGCCUCCAACACUGAACAAUUACCCAAAUAUCUCGCGAACCCUAUAAUUCACUCUCCCUUGUAAUCUCUCACGCAACCUUCCGCAGCUGCAAAGCCCUCGUUAAUCCUAACUGAACCAUCAGUGUUCAAAUAAACCCAACUGUAGGAGAUAUGGCAAUUAGGUAGAGUUCUUUGGGCUUCAAACUUUGAGAUCGAGGAAACAGAGGAAUACUAUUUAACCCAACUAAACUAGAUUUUAAUAAUUUCCUCAACACUCCACGAAAUUCUUUGGAAAACAAAUAUGUUGCGACUCUUCCAAAUACGCCACGUAAUAAUUCCAAAAAGGUAGGACCAAUCGAUUUCCCCUGUCGAAGAAGUCAACUGGUUCUGCAAAUUAGUCGCCGUCCAAUCAAAUAAAGAGCCUGAGUAAAAACUAGAAAAAGCUUGUUGAGGAAUGAUUUUAUCCCAAACUCCUUUGGCUGCAGGAUAAUCUCGGAGUAUAUGCAUCACAUCCUCCAAAACAUGACUACAAAUACUGCAAGUGUUGUUACUCCCACAACCUCGUCUUACUCUUUCAACAUUUGUAAGCAGCUUUUGCUUUAAGACAAGCCAAAUAAAGAAGCGGAUCCGAUAAGGGCCUUUAAAUUUCCAAGGUAUCCUCCAAAACGCUUCCUUGGGAUUCAAAGUGUCUUCACAAUGGGAUUCAAAGUGUCUUCACAAACCUUCCUAUAUGCACUCUUGAGAGAGAGAAGGUGUCAGUCGAGGUGGCUCCCCAAAUAAGUCCUAGCUUCGAUUUCUCUUUUAAGCAUAUUUGUAUUUUUUUUUCACAUUGUUUCAAAUUUUUCUUAAUUCAUCUUUUUAAUUAAUAAUUCUUUUAUUUAUAAAAUUAAAUAAUUAUUUUAAAUUAUCUAAUAAAAAAUAUAUUCUGAUAAAAAUGAUAUUUUUCAUUAUGUUAAAUAUAAUUUAUUUUUUAAAACAUCAACUUUUUGUUAUAUUUUUCUUUAUGUAAAAUAUAUAGGUUCUCCAUGUGGAUAUGGUGAUUUCUAAUAUUAUAAAAUCAAAUAAUUAUUUCAAAUAUCAUUAUUAUUUUUAUACGUAAAAUAUUUUAAAUAUCAUUAUUUUUUCAUGUACAUUGUAGGUAUGAUAUUUCAAAUAUUUUUAUACAUGAAAUAUUUCAAUUAAUUAUUUGAAAUUACAUUAUGUUUAUAUGUGAAAUAUUUCAAUUAAUCAUUUCAAAUUACAUUAUGUUUAUAUGUGAAAUAUUUCAAUUAAUUAUUUCAAAUUACAUUAUGUUUAUAUGUUAAAUAUUUCAAAAAGACGUACAAAAAUAUAUAAUACUAAAAUUUAAUACGUUCAUGAUAUGGAUUGAAAAUAAAAUUACACAUAAUAUUUAUAUUUAUUAAAGAUAAUGAUAUUUGAAAAUGAUUAUUUUAUUUUUAAAUAAAAUAAUUAUUAAUUAAAAAGAUAAAAAAAACUUGAAAACAAUAUAUUUAUUAAUUAAAAAAUUUAAAAGAAAACUUGAAACAACAUGAAAUAAAAAAAAGUACAAAUUUGCUUAGAAUAGGAAUCAAACCUAGGACUCAAUGAUAAAAUCACUAUUAUUUAACCAUAUAACCAAAGAAAUUAAUGUGAGUAGGAGAAGAAUCUAACCCGAGACUCAAGGACAAAACCAUUAAUAUUUAACUAUCUGACUAAAGGAAUUGAUAUAUUAAAAGAGUUAGAAAACACGCACUAUAAAAUGCAUUAUUUUAUUUGUCUCUCCAAAUUUAAAACCUUCUAUCAGUCAGCUGCUAUUUUGAUGUUUUCUGUCACUUAUUUAGCAUUAUUCUGCCUUUUACUUAUUCCUAAUUUUGGGUUGUUUUUCAUUAAUUAAUUAAUUAAUUAGAGAUCAUAUUAUGAAUGUAUUUAAUAUUUAUGGAAGUAAUGUUAAAAAGAAAUCUGGAGGUUUUUCUUUUUGCUCAUGAUUAAUUGGAUAAGUUUACAUUUUUACAAAAAAAAAAUAUUAAGACAAAGUCAGAGUGAAAAAAUAAUUAAGCAAGAAAAAUUCAGAAAAAUAAAUUGAUUCUUCAAUUAAAAAAAUGUAAAGCUUUAUUUGUUUUAUUAUUGAAAAAAAAAGGUCAUUCCCAAUUACUAUCAUUAAUAGUCAAAUUAUUAUUAUUUUUUUUGCAUGUUUAUUUCAUGUUAUAUUUUAACAAAAUAAAAGAAAUAUAUACUUUUUUUUAUAAAGAUUUAUUAAAUUACAGUCCAAAUUUGACAUUUAUAAUAUUAAAUAAAAUCUAAUCCACAUUUGACUCCUUAAUUAUCACGUUUCUUCCUUCCUUAAUUUUCAGUCAGUGAAUCACAUUAAAUUCAAAAUAGGAUGCAUAAUUAUUUAUUAUAUAUACAAGUGAUUGCAUAUAAUAUUAGUUCAUGCAGUCACCAGUAGUUGAAUAUUAACAUUUACAACUAUUUCCCGAGAAAAUGUAUGUGUUUUGUAUUAUAUAUAUAAGUUGGUAAUGCUGAUUGAGAAAAGACUUUUAAGAGGCUUUAAUAUCAUUGAGUUAUUAAGGUUAAGCCACUUGCUCGACUUAGUUUGUGUUUACUACAUGUAUUGUGUGUUUGGCUGUUGCAGAGUAUCCUCAGUGGAGGAGAAAAAUCAUCUGCUAUUUUUUAAAAUUCAUAUUACUAUUUUACUAUUUUACCUUUUUAAAGUAGAUCAUUUUUAUUUUUUUUAGUGUUUAAUGUACCUAGACGAUAAGAUUGAAGUAAUUUCUUUUUCCAAAAUAAUAAGCAUGCAUGAGAAUUGUUCAUCGCCAUGUGCUAAAGACUUGGACUGUUUGUCAAAGUUCUCUUCAAAGAAAUCAUAUAACUCACAAUGAAAGUUUAUAUAUAUAUAUAUAUAUAUAAUAUAAGNNNNNNNNNNNNNNNNNNNNNNNNNNNNNNNNNNNNNNNNNNNNNNNNNNNNNNNNNNNNNNNNNNNNNNNNNNNNNNNNNNNNNNNNNNNNNNNNNNNNAAAUUGGUAUCUCGUUAAACGCGCGUUGUCUUGCUUUUCAAAAAUACAAGUUCAAUUUAAUAGUUAAUCGCGAUCCGAUCAAAAUACAAAUUUUUUUUAAACACGAAGAUUUUUGAAACAAUUUUUUGAAAAUACGAUUUUUUUUAAAAACACGAGAAUUUUAGAGACACGAAAAUUCUUAAAAACACGAAUAUUUUUGAAAACACGACAAAUUUUUGAAAACAAUAUUUUUUUGAAACGCGAAAAUUUUUGAAACACGAGAAUUUUUUAGAAAACAGGAAAAAAAUAAUUUUUUUUGAUCAUCGGAAUUUUUGAGAACACGAAAAUUUUUGAAACACCGGGAUUUUUGAAAACACGAGGAUUUUUGAAACACGAAAAUUUUAAAAACACGAAAAUUUUUAAACAGGGGAAUUUUUUCGAAAACACGAAAUUUUUUGAAUAUUUACAAUUUUUAAAAGGACGUAUCGUAUUUAACAUAAACCGGUGAUAUUCACCCAACAUAGCGAUGAAAUCAUCGAUUUAAUGUUAAAUCGAUUCGUUGCCUUAUUUAUUAAAAUUAAAUUAAAUUAAAUUAAAAACAUAAAUACAAAAAAUAUAAAAGUGCAUAAAAAUACCAAUAAUAUUAAAACGAAAUGACAUAAAAAUACAUGCAUUAAAUUAAAAAUGAAAUAAAUAAAAUUACCGAAAAUGUCUGAAAUACGAGCUUCGCCGAACGGGUUACACAAAUUAAAACCCGUUUUUUCUUUUUUUCUUCUUUUAUCUUCCUUUUUCCUCUCUUUUUCUUUUUUUUUCUGGACUGGGCUGGCCUGUUGGGCUGCUGCUAGGCCUGGGGGCUGCUGCUGCACUGGGCCUGGGGGCCUGCUGCUGCGCUGGGCCUGCAUUUGGGCUGCUUCUUUCUUUUUCUUUUUUUCUGCUUCUUUCUUUCUUUCUUUUUUCUGCUGCUUCUUUUUCUGUUUUGGUUUUUUUUUUUGGGCUGGCCUGCUACUGCUGUUGGGUUGUUGGGUGCUGUGGGUCGGGUCAAUUUUGCGGGUCGGGUCGGCCCGAUUUAAAAUAAUUUUUUUCUUUUUUUCUUUUUUUCUUCUUUCUUCUUCCUCUUUUUUUCUUCUUUCUUUCUUCUUCUUUCUUUCUCUUUUUCUUCCUUUCUUUCUUCCCCGAUCAGGCCCCCCUUCGGGUUGCUUUCGUCGACGGCGACCUACUUCCCACCGACGGCCGACGGUGGCGCUCACGGUGGUCUUCCCUUUCCCCUUUUUUCUCUUUUUCUUUCUUUUUUUUUUCUUUUUGCUUGCUUUGCUUUUUUUUCUUUUUUUCUUGCCUCUUGGUUGUCUUGCUAGGUAUCGGGGCGGCGCGAGUGCGGUGGCGGAUGCGGUGGCGCGGACACGACGGCGGUGGUGCCCCUUUUUGCUGUUGUUUUUGCUCUCCUUUUUUUUUUGCUCAAAAUUUGUUUUUUUUUUUCCUUUGCUUCCUUGCUUCCCCCUUUUUCUUCCUUGCUUUGGGGGUUUUAAAACCCAUUUUAUUUUGAUGUUCUCUUCUUUUUUUGCAGGUUGCAGGUGGGCUAGGGAGGGCUUAGGUCGGCCGCCGCGCGUUGCAGGUGCAACUUGUGUCAGUGGCAGCCAGAGGGACCAAAAUGUAGUGGCAGCAAAACUUUUGGGGCCGAAACAUAAUUUUGAGAAAGUUCAAGGGUCCAAAUGUAAUUUUAAGAAAGUUUAAGGGUCAAAAUGUAAUUUAGAAAAGUUUAGGGGUUGAACUGUAAUUUUGAGAAAGUUUAGGGGUUAAAAUGCAAUUUUAAAAAAGUUUAGGGGUCAAAAUGCAAAAAAAUUAAAAAAUUUAAUUUUAAUUUUUUUUAACGAAAGUUAUUCCCGGACAAAAUUCAGUGAUUACAGCUGCCCCUCUUUGCUCAUCGCUGUGAAACAGGGAUAGAGCAAAGACUUAAAAGCACUGAAUUUUGUUCGAUCAUCCAAAAUUUUUCUUUUUAUUUGAAAAGCAGAAAUCGAGAAUAGCUCAGCGUGAAACCCGAGGCCCAACUCACCUCUAGCAAUAUGAGUUGAUUUUUUUGAAAAGCAAGAAUUGAAAAAUACCUCGACGUGACUCGAGGCUCAACUCACCUCUCGCAAUAUGAGUUGAUUUUGGAAAAAUAGAAAUUGAAAAACACCUCGACGUGACUCGAGGCUCAACUCACCUCUGGCAAUAUAAGUUGAUUUUUGAAAAACAGAAAUUUAAAAUACCUCAGCGAGAGACCCGAGGCUCAACUCACCUCUCGUAAUAUGAGUUGAUUUUUUGAAAAAAUAGAAAUUAAAAAAAAUACCUCAGCGUGACUCGAGGCUCAACUCACCUCUGUAUUAUGAGUUGAUUUUUUGAAAAAAGCAGAAAUUAAAAAAAUACCUCAGCGUGACCCGAGGCUCAACUCACCUCUGUAUUAUGAGUUGAUUUUUUGAAAAAGCAGAAAUUUAAAAAAUACCUCAGCGUGACCCGAGGCUCAACUCACCUCUGUAUUAUGAGUUGAUUUUUUGAAAAAAGCAGAAAUUAAAAAAAAUACCUCAGCGUGACCCAAGGCUCAACUCACCUCUGUAUUAUGAGUUGAUUUUUUGAAAAAAGCAGAAAUUUAAAAAAUAACUCAGCGUAACCCGAGGCUCAACUCACCUUUGUAUUAUGAGUUGAUUUUUUGAAAAAAGCAGAAAUUAAAAAAAAUACCUCAGCGUGACCCGAGGCUCAACUCACCUCUGUAUUAUGAGUUGAUUUUUUGAAAAAAAAAUAGAAUUUUAAAAAAUAUUUCUUGAAAGAAACAGGGUUUCAAAAAACAUCUGGUAAAGCUAAAAGCCUUCUUCUUCAUUGAUUCUGUGCAGUUUUCUCCCAGUAUUCCUUGCUCUACUGGUAUACCUGUAUAUGUUAUUUAUGAUGUUAUUAUGAUAUGCACAUGUUUGUCCUAAAUGCUUUUGUGUCUACAUGAUCAUGCAAUGCACCCUGGGCUAUUUGUCACGUGCCCCACUUUUGAUUUUUGUGAGGGUCCGCAUUUAUUUCCUCAAUUCUUGACUUUUCUCUCCAGUUUUGUACUCAUCCUCAAGUUUGGUGAGUAACCCACAUUUCUUCGUAUAUCACCCUCUUGCCCCCUGUUGAACUUUUUCUUGCUUUAGGGUCCUUGUAUUUAUCAAGUUCUCAUCCAGGUAAUGCUCAACAUUCCCUUUGUUUAGAGUAUGUCAUCUUACUAUUUAUCAUUUAAAUGAAUCAAACACGAGAUGCAUACAAAAGACAAAGUAGGCAUGAAAGAAAUACCUCACAUUCAUUUUUUUAAAAGCAACAAUCGAAGGAAAUUGAUAAGGAAAGUUUAACAAAUAAAUUGUCAUAAAGAAAAGAAAGCGAGUUCAAUGGCCAGAAAUGCUCUAGAUAUCCAAUGCAUGAACUUUCCAAGUUUCUUCAUCCUGGAUCUUUUCGAGCACGGCUUCUUGUGUAGAAGAUUUUGAGCUUCUGAGAAUGCUUCAAAUAUUGUAACCUCGCCAUUCGACUCUCCGUUCAAGCCAAUUGGCUUCUUCAAGCCCGAGCCCACUUUAUUAGGACGCCCUUUUGGGUUUUCAUCCUAAUCCUUUUGUUUAUCAAGACGCCCUUUUCGGGUUUUCAUCUUGAUUUUUCUUUUUUUGUUUUGUUUUUGUUUUGUUCCUUUGUUUUGUUAUUUUUUUGUUUUUUUUUUGUCUCUCUUUUUUUUAGGCAUAAUAUUUCUUCACAGAAUCUGAGUUCACUGGAUUAGGUAAUUCUUUCCCGUCCAUCUCAGUGAAAAUCAGAGCCCCUCCUGAGAAUGCCCUUUUUACAACGUAUGGCCCUUCCCAAUUUGGUGACCAUUUUCCUCGAAAGUCCUUCUGAAUCGAGAGAAUCUUUCUCAGUAUGAGCUCUCAUUCGCAAAAUUCUCUUGGCCGCACCUUUUUAUCAUGGGCCGUAAUCAUUCUCUUCUGGUACAUAUGUCCAUGACAAAUUGCCUUCAAGCGUUUCCCUUUAAUAAGGUUUAGCUGAUCAUAUCGAGCUCGAACCCACUCUGAUUCCUCUAACCUUGUCUCCAUCAAGACGCGCAGGGAUGGGAUCUCUACUUCGAUAGGCAAAACGGCUUUCAUUCCAUAGACCAGAGAAAAAGGAGUUGCCCCUGUAGACAUCCGUACAGAGGUGCGAUAUACGUACAAAGCGAAUGGUAGCUUCUCGUGCCAGUCUUUAUAUGUCUCAGUCAUCUUCCCGAGAAUCCUCUUAAUGUUCUUAUUAGCCGUUUUUACUGCUUCGUUCAUCUUUGGGCGAUAGGGCGAAGAAUUAUGAUGCUUUAUCUGAAAUUGCUCACAUACUUCUUUCAUCAUCUUGUUGUUCAAAUUUAAAGCAUUAUCUGAAAUGAUUCUUUCAGGCAGACCAUAUCGACAUAUGAUCUCAUUUUUUAAGAACCUACAGACCGCAGCCUUUGUCACAUUAGCAAAUGAAGUGGCUUCUACCCAUUUUGUGAUGUAGUCUAUAACCACAAAGAUGAAUCGAUGUCCAUUGGAAGCUUUCGGGGAAAUUGGCCAUAUAACAUCCAUGCCCCACAUAGAAAAAGGCCACGGAGAAGUAAUGACAUGAAGGGGCGAUGGAGCUGCAUGAAUUUUAUCACCAUAAAUUUGACAUUUGUGGCACUUUCGUGUUUAGCCAAUGCAAUCGCUUUCCAUCGUCAGUCAGUAAUAACCAAGUCUCAUAAUCUGCCUGGCCAUAGUGAAACCACUGGCAUGCAUUCCAAAAAUUUCUUCAUGAACCUCUUCAAGUAUCUUUCUAGCUUCAACAGCGUCCACGCACCUAAUGAGCACUUGAUCUUUUCCUUUUUUGUAUAGAAUAUCCCCAUCAAGAAUAAAUCCAACCGUUAUUAUUCUGAUUGUUCUGUUGUCAUUCUCGUUUGCCUGCUCGGGGUACCUUUGAUUCUUGAUAUACUCCAAGAUAUCAUGGAACCAUGGUCGUCCAUCUGACUCCUCCUCAAUACUAAAACAGUGUUCGAGGGUCUCAUAUAUACUCAUUUGGAUGGGCAUUAUCUCAGUUUCUCUGUUUGCUUUGAACAUCGAAGCCAAGGUGGCUAGGGCAUCAGCCAAUUGGUUCUCCUCUCGUGGAAAGUAGUUAAAAGUCACUUCUUUGAAUUCUUUGACCAAUUUCGCAACAAGAUCGUGGUACUUGACUAAUUUUGGAUCUCUCACUUCCCAAUCCCCACGAAUUUGAUAAAUGACUAAUGCUGAGUCCCCGUGCACUUCUAAGAUUUUGAUUUUCCUCUCGAUAGCUGCACGAAGCCCUAUGAUGCAAGCUUCAUAUUCCGCUAUAUUAUUGGUACAGAAGAAGUUCAAUCUGGCAGUGAGCGGGUAAUGAUCUCCCUCCGGCGAUACUAAGACUGCUCCAAUCCCAUGCCCCAAUACAUUUGAUGCACCAUCAAAGCUCAUUUUCCAUGAUUUCUCUCUUGAUGACUCACCCUCUUUUUCUGAAAUGCAAAUCAAGUCUUCAUCUGGGAAAUCAAAUCUCAAAGGCUCGUAUUCUUCCGCUGUUCGACUUGCCAAGAAGUCAGCUAUCGCACUUCCCUUUAUCGAUUUUUGGCUCAUAUACACGAUGUCAUACUCAGUCAGUAAGAUCUGCCAUCGUGCUAUUCUUCCUGAGAGUGCAGGUGACUCCAUCAUGUACUUUAUUGGAUCCAGUUUUGAAAUUAACCACGUCGUAUGAUAUAACAUGUAUUGUCUGAGCCUUCGAACCGUUCAAAUCAAUGCGCGACAAAACUUCUCAAUUGAAGGGUACUUUACCUCAUAUUCUGUGAACAUUUUGUUGAGGUAGUAAAUCACUUUUUCUCUUUUCCCCGACUCAUCAUGUUGUCCCAGUACGCAACCCAUUGAAUUCUCAAACACGGUCUGGUACAAUAUUAAGGGUUUUCCAGGGGUUGGCGGUACUAGUACCGGAGGAUUAGAUAGAUACUGUUUUAUCUUGUCGAAAGCCACUUGACAUUCCUCGUUCCAUUCUCCCGGAUUAUGUUUUUGAAGAAGUCAAAAAAUUGGAUCACACUGAUUGGUAAGUUGGGCAACGAAUCGAGCAAUGUAAUUCAACCUUCCUAAAAAUCCUCUGACUUCCUUUUGUGUACGCGGAGGUGGCAGUUCUUGUAUAGCUUUCAUAUUAUCUUGAUCAACUUCGAUACCUCUCUCACUGACAAUAAAACCUGACAGUUUUCCCGAGGUAGCCCCAAACGUACAUUUGGCUGGGUUAAGUUUCAACUGGAACUUUAUUAACCUUUCGAACAGCUUCUUGAGAUUCCCAACAUGCUCUUUUUCUCCCCGGGACUUGACAAUCAUAUCAUCGACGUAAACUUCUAUUUCUUUGUGCAUCAUAUCAUGAAAUAACGUCACCAUGGCUCUCUGAUAUGUUGCCCCAUCAUUCUUUAAUCCGAACGGCAUUACCUUGCAGCAAAAGGUCCCCCACAAUGUUAUGAAUGUAGUUUUCUCCAUGUCCUCGGGAGCCAUCUUUAUCUGAUUAUAACCUGAGAAGCCAUCCAUGAAAGAAAACAGAGAAUGUUUUGCCGUAUUAUCCACCAAAGUGUCGAUGUGUGGUAAAUGAAAGUUAUCCUUAGGGCUUGCUUGAUUCAGAUCACGAUAAUCCACGCACAUUCGCAACUUGCCAUCUUUCUUCGGCACUGGGACUAUAUUAGCUACCCAUUUUGGAUAUUUAGAGACUUGUAGGAAGCCAGCAUCAAUUUGUUUCUUGACUUCUUCUUUUAUCUUUAACAGCAUUUCGGGUCUCAUCCUUCUUAAUUUCUGCCGAACGGGCUUGCAUUCUGGUUUCAGUGGGAGCUUAUGAACCACUACAUCCUCAUUCAACCCUGGCAUGUCCUGAUACGACCAGGCGAAUACAUCUUUGUACUCACGGAGCAAGGCGAUCAAAUUCUGUUUGGUGUUAUCUGAAAUGGAAAUAUCAAUAUUCACUUCUUGUUUCUUUUCUUCACUUCCCAAGUUCACUGUCUCAACAGAUUCUUGAUGGGGUAGAAUCUGUUUCUUUUCUUGUUCAACCAUUCUCAAUAAGUCAGGAGGCAAGACACAAUUUUUAGCAUCUUCCUCGGCUUCAAAUUCUUCUAAACAAACAGCCUUCUCAAAAUCGAUUUCAGGACUUGUAACGGGAUUGUUCAUGCCAUGGAUAUCUGAGCACUUGAAAGGCGGAUAGAAAAGACUGCUAUAAGAGAGCAUCAAAGUAUUGGAAUCAACAAACACAAUGUUAUGGAAUGAGAUAUAUGGAGAGAAAGGAUAUGAAGCGAUGAGGGUAAUUAUGAAACUGAUAGAAAUAAAAAGAUCAUGACAAAAUGCAUCUUCAUUAAUGUUCAUUGAAAUGAUAAAGAGCAAACACAAGCUCUUACAAAAGGAAUCCCACUAUUUAGGGGCACACAAAAUAAAUGGAGAAGUAACAUUGGGCAUUACUCUGGAGAGGACUUAGAAACUACAAGAAGGUCCACAGCAGUCCAAUUGUUCAAAACAUAUCUUGGAAGACAGGGGUGUAUCAUUGAAACAUCCUCAAUUGUAUCACUCUCAUUGAAUUCAACAUUCAUAGCCCUAGCCCUUAAAUGUGUUCUAUAAGAAUGACGUGAUUCCAGACUUGUAGUAUCACAACUGUGGAUUUUGCGGUUCUGGCCUUAGUGAAUGAUUAGGGUGAUAUGUACAUGCAAUGAAUGAAUGAAUGAAUGACCAAUGGAUGCUAGUCAUGCGUAAAUAUGCAAAAAAAAUGGUGUUGAUUUCAAGAUAGCCCCAUAUUUUGGCAUUUCAUUUAUCAAAAGAGUCAAUUACAAAAUAUUUUGCCAACGAAGAUGACCCUAGUUCUUGAGUUUCACUGUUUCCAAAUCCUAGUCAAAUCUUCAGGGUUAUUCUGACGAGCAUUCGAAGUCGUCUUCUCGGAAAGAUCAGAGAUAUAUCUUUCCUUUAAAUUGUCCCUUUUACUUUCUCGGCCCUCAAAGACCAGUCUCUGACUACGACAUUUUUCUUGAUUACCUGUGUAAUUUGACUCCUUCAUCAGAAACCCGUUUUUGGCAACCAAUCUCUAAUCAACACCUUCCUAAUGAGAUAUCUACGAUGCAUGAUGAAAAAUAAAAUGAAGAACAAAUAACAUUGGUUAGAGAUCACAACAGAUAUAAACAGAAGGAAAAUAAAAAAUAAAUACUAUGGAAAAUUUAACAAAUUAAGCUAGUCAAUCAGCAAUUUGGUGGAACAGACCCACAUUUUUUUUUGCCCCAACAUGCUUUACAAAAACCUACCCCACAUACCAUCAGACAAUCUACCCGACCCAAUUUAUUAAAUAGACCCAAUUCAUUUGCAAAUAAGUGUAAAUGUAAAAGAAAUAAAAGGUAAGAGGCGUUUCUCCCGUGUACUUAUUUUGGUAACUAUCAAACGGACAGAGGUUCGGCAUGGCUCUAAUUGGGUGGCUCGUACGGUUCNNNNNNNNNNNNNNNNNNNNNNNNNNNNNNNNNNNNNNNNNNNNNNNNNNNNNNNNNNNNNNNNNNNNNNNNNNNNNNNNNNNNNNNNNNNNNNNNNNNNUCUUCUAAAGAAAUACAUAUAACUACACAAUAGAAGUUAAUAUAUAUAUAUAUAUAUAUAUAUAAGCAUAGUCAGGCCAACCAAUGUAGAAAAAAACUAACAUGAUAUCAUCUUUUCUUAUUGCCCAGUAUUUAUUUAGCAAAUAUUGACUGUAACAUUGUCAUGAUUAUUUUUGGACAAGAACAAGGUCAUUUCCACACAGGUAGAAGUGCAGUCCAUGCUCAUAGCUUACAGAAAAAAAAAAUAUUUCAGUAAAGAUUAUGUAGCGACCUAAAAAUUUGGGGUGAGCGCUAAUCGAAAUGAUUGUUGAAAAUUUGAAGACGGUGUUUCGAUUUUAUUUGAAAAAGGAGUCGCCACCGAUCUUUUUUCCUAGGUGUGAUCGGACACCUAAUAAAUUCUCUUUUAGAAGAAGAAUUUAUUUUUUUAAUUUUUCUAAAAAAGAGGUAAUUUUAGGUCUACGUGAAAAUCCAGAGAAAAUUAGGGUUCGGGAGUCGGUUACACGCGAGGAAGGUAUUAGCACCCUCGCGACGCCCAAAAUUGGUAUCUCGUUAAACGCGCGUUGUCUUGCUUUUCAAAAAUACAAGUUCAAUUUAAUAGUUAAUCGCGAUCCGAUCAAAAUACAAAUUUUUUUUAAACACGAAGAUUUUUGAAACAAUUUUUUGAAAAUACGAUUUUUUUAAAACACGAGAAUUUUAGAGACACGAAAAUUCUUAAAAACACGAAUAUUUUUGAAAACACGACAAAUUUUUGAAAACAAUAUUUUUUUUGAAAACGUCGAAAAAUUUUUUGAAAACACGUAGAACUUUUUUUAGAAAAACUAGGUAAAAAAAACUAAAUUUUUUUUUAGAAUUCAAUUUUUGAGNNNNNNNNNNNNNNNNNNNNNNNNNNNNNNNNNNNNNNNNNNNNNNNNNNNNNNNNNNNNNNNNNNNNNNNNNNNNNNNNNNNNNNNNNNNNNNNNNNNNNNNNNNNNNNNNNNNNUUUGAAUAUUUACAAUUUUUAAAAGGACGUAUCGUAUUUAACAUAAACCGGUGAUAUUCACCCAAUAUAGCGAUGAAAUCAUCGAUUUAAUGUUAAAUCGAUUCGUUGCCUUAUUUAUUAAAAUUAAAUUAAAUUAAAUUAAAAACAUAAAUACAAAAAAUAUAAAAGUGCAUAAAAAUACCAAUAAUAUUAAAACGAAAUGACAUAAAAAUACAUGCAUUAAAUUAAAAAUGAAAUAAAUAAAAUUACCGAAAAUGUCUGAAAUACGAGCUUCGCCGAACGGGUUACACAAAUUAAAACCCGUUUUUUCUUUUUUUCUUCUUUUAUCUUCUUUUUUCCUCUCUUUUUCUUUUUUUUUUCUUGACUGGGCUGGCCUGUUGGGCUGCUGCUAGGCCUGGGGGCUGCUGCUGCACUGGGCCUGGGGGCCUGCUGGGCCUGCUGCUGCGCUGGGCCUGCAUUUGGGCUGCUUCUUUCUUCUUCUUUUUUCUGCUUCUUUCUUUCUUUCUUUUUUCUGCUGCUUCUUUUUCUGUUUUGGUUUUUUUUUUUUGGGGCUGGCCUGCUACUGCUGUUGGGUUGUUGGGUGCUGUGGGUCGAGUCAAUUUUGCGGGUCGGGUCGGCCCGAUUUAAAAUAAUUUUUUUUUUCUUUUUUUCUUCUUUCUUCUUCCUCUUUUCUUCUUUCUUUCUUCUUCUUUCUUUCUCUUUUUCUUCCUUUCUUUCUUCCCCGAUCAGGCCCCCCUUCGGGUUGCUUUCGUCGACGGCGACCUACUUCCCACCGACGGCCGACGGUGGCGCUCACGGUGGUCUUCCCUUUCCCCUUUUUUCUCUUUUUCUUUCUUUUUUUUUUCUUUUUGCUUGCUUUGCUUUUUUUUCUUUUUUUCUUGCCUCUUGGUUGUCUUGCUAGGUAUCGGGGCGGCGCGAGUGCGGUGGCGGAUGCGGUGGCGCGGGCACGACGGCGGUGGUGCCCCUUUUUGCUGUUGUUUUUGCUCUCCUUUUUUUUUGCUCAAAAUUUGUUUUUUUUUUUUUUCCUUUGCUUCCUUGCUUCCCCCCUUUUCUUCCUUGCUUUGGGGGUUUUAAAACCCAUUUUAUUUUGAUGUUCUCUUCUUUUUUUGCAGGUUGCAGGUGGGCUAGGGAGGGCUUAGGUCGGCCGCCGCGCGUUGCAGGUGCAACUUGUGUCAGUGGCAGCCAGAGGGACCAAAAUGUAGUGGCAGCAAAACUUUUGGGGCCGAAACGUAAUUUUGAGAAAGUUCAAGGGUCCAAAUGUAAUGUUAAGAAAGUUUAGGGGUCAAAAUGUAAUUUAGAAAAGUUUAGGGGUUGAACUGUAAUUUUGAGAAAUUUUAGGGGUUAAAAUACAAUUUUAGAAAAGUUUAGGGGUCAAAAUGCAAAAAAAAUUAAAAAAUUUUUAAUUUUAAUUUUUUUUUAACGAAAGUUAUUCCCGGAUAAAAUUCAGUGAUUACAGAUUAAAUAGUUGUAUAUGAUAUUGAUAUCAUAGAUAGAUGAAUCGAUUUAAUUUAAGUCGGUUCAACUUAUAAAUACCUUAAUUUUAUAUAAUAUAUAUGUGUAUUUAUAUUAUUAUUUAAGUUCUUGAUUGGGUUAGCGUCACUCUCAACCGGGUCACCAAAUUUACUAGGAAAAUUAUUGAAAUGUUCUUUCGUAAUUAAAAUAAGUUGUAUUAUUCGAAGGUAUUUUUGCCUUUUUAUUUUUAAAAAGUAAAUAAAAAUAUGUGUAUGGUGGUAUUUGAAUCCAAACUAAUUGGGUUAGAAAAAUAUUUAAUUUAUCACUCAACUAAAACCUUUUAUUUUGAUAUUUUUAUAUAUUUUUUAUUUUAUUAUACACACUUUAUUUUAAUACCGUACAUAUUUCAUGUGUUAUUAUGCUUAAUUAGUUUCAAAUCAUGUGUUUCAUUAUUUAUUAUUUGUUAUUUUUAAACACAUAUUUGUACUCUAAUAUUUAUAAAAUAACAUAAUCCUCGAAAAGGAAACAUGCACUUCUAGGUAAGUUAAGUUUUUACCAAAUGACACAUGUUGAUAAUUGACACUUUAGGUGGUUAUUGAUGGCCUUGUAAAGUCUUUCGAUCUUAACAUUAUACAAACCAAAACCUUAGUAUUGCACAAACAAUUAUUUUAGUAUCUUUAGAAUAAUAUGAUUAUCAUAAGUUUAAAAAUAUCUGAUGCGGAAUUGAAAUUGGUCAUUAGAUUUUAUGAAGAAGAACACCCGAUAAAUUGAUUUCUCCCUCUUAACCUUUUUCCCUUAACUACACAAAUAAGGAAAAAAAAUUUAUGUGUUUUGUGUGCAACUCUAAUAAGUAAAGUGGGAUUAAUUUAUAAUGAUAAACUUUUAAUCUGAUCAAGUAACCCAACGAAAUGAUAAAAUUUAAUUUCUAUUAAAGUAAAACUUUUAGGCCCCAUGAUUUUAGAGUUAUUGGGUCCACAUAAUUGGGAUAAAAAUCUUACAUUCUCUCACUUGGCCUAAUGAGAUAAAACAUAAACUUUAAUAGAACAAUUGUUGAGUGCGCAUAAAAAUAAUAUAAAAUUUGUCAUUAAAAUUUGAUUAGGUUGACCUCAUAUAAUGUGGCAGAUGAUUAAUAGAAAAUAAACAUGUUAAAUUGACAAAUUUUGAUAGAAACUGCCAACGAUAAUAAUAACCAAAUUAGAAUUUUUAAAUUGAAAAGGGAGGACUGAAAUUUUAACUUUUAAAGUACAAGAACCCAAUCUCAAAUUAAUUACAAGUACAGGGACUAAUAACACAUGUUAGCUUCUUCUUCUUUUUUAGGUAACAAAAAUAAUCAAUAUAUGACCAACAUGCGGUAGAAAUUUAUUUUAUUUUAUUUUAAAUAUUAAAUUACUUUUAGUUUAAUUAAAAUUUUUAAUUUUUUUUAAUUUAACAAUUGAACCGAGUGAUAAAAUACUUGCAAAUAAAUAUUCUGUGGGCAAAGAUUUAAUCAUUAAAUAUUACAUUUUUAAUUAUUUCAUUUAAGUACGUCGCAUAAAAAUAGUAAAAAGCGAAAGUAUUAAUAUUAUAAUUUUGAGACACCUUACAUGCGAUUCAAUUGUCUAAUCCAAAUGCGCGACUUCACAUUAUGUUGUCAGGGUAACUCAAACUAACUUGAUAUCAUUUUACUAAGUAACAUACAUUCAAACAAAUAAAUCACGUAUAAUUUCAAUUAAAUCAUGUGUACAUGUUUAAUGAAUGUCAAUUGAUCUAGUUUAAAGUAUUUAGGAGUUGUAUAGGAUCAAAUAUAGAGUUGGGAUUCGAAUCCAAACUCAUUUAUCCAAAUUUUAUAGGGGGUUUCGAGACAUGACAUUCAUGUCUCGAGACACUAAUAUAAUAUGGUCUAAAAUGAACAUUUAAAUGCAUUCAAUCACAAAUCAAUUCGUACCUAACUUAAACAAACUUUACACAAUUUCAUAUGCAUCAAUUUAACAAACAAAUAUAUAACCAAAUAUCCAAACAAUUUAACAUCAAGUCACCUCAACCUAAUGUAGUUAAAUAAAUGGCUUAAUACUUAAAACCAUGCAAACUCAUUCAUUACUCAAGCAUUAAAACUCAACAAAAGAAACCUUAUAGGUCCAUAGCUAACCAAAGCAUACCAUAUUGACCAAAACAAUAUUUAACUCGAGCUGAAUUACUGACCUUAAAUGCUUUACAAUUUUGAUCUACUAAAAACCUGUUUGAGAUCUGCGCAUAAAAACAAACACAACUAUACGUUGAGUAUUAAAUACUUAAUGGUGCUAACAUAAUCUGAAUUCAAAUAUAAAACAUUAAGCAAUUUAAUAUACUAAAUAAACAUUUUAUUUAAUAGAUUCAAUAUCAUAAUACUAAGGGCCAGUUCUUCAUUGCUUAACAAAAGCACUUCUGACUCCAAAAGUACUUUUGAAAGAAAAACUGUGAAGAACAAGCUGCUUUUGGCUGAAAUUUUUAGCUUUUUUCUGAAAAGGAGCUGAAAAUGAGAAGCUAAAAAUUUUAGCUUUUACUCUCCCAAAAGCACUUUUUGUGCUUAAUUACUUUUUCACCCCUCCAAUAACAUAGUAUUUUCCUUUUUUUUCUUGGUGCUUAAUUACAAAUGUGUUAAAAUUAUUAAUUAAAAAUAAAAAAUAUUUCUUAAAAUACUAAUUACAAAUAUUUAAUGGUUAUAUUUAAAUAUUUAAAAUAUAGUUUAUAUAUUCUAAUUAAAUUUUAUAAAUAAUUAAUAUUUAUUGCUUAAAAAUAUUUAAAAUUUAUAUUUCAUAUAUUAAAAUAUUAACAAUAAGCUAUAAUAAUUUUUUUAUAUUCUUACUAAAAUAUAAUAAUAUUAACUAAUUUAAAUAUUAUUUAAAUGCAUAUUUGUUACUUGAUAAUAACAUGUCUAAAAUGGACAUUUUAUUUCUCAAAAGCACUUUUUGACAGUAAUACUAAACACUCAAAUUUUAAGCCAAACUUUUCAAAAGCACUCCUCAAAAGCACUUUUCCACAGCACUUUUUAAAAGCAAUGAAGAACUAGCCCUAAGAUGGCAUUCUAGUAUUUCAUUACCCAAUUUCAUAUCGAGCAACAAUCAUCCCGUAACUUUAUACCAUUUCAUUUAUUCACCCUCAGGGUAUUUAAGUGACAUUUACCUAUGCAAUCAAUUUUCUCCUCGUGAGGCAAGUUCCAAUGUCACGAUACCCAAAACAAUAUUGAAAUUGAGAGUCUUGGAGGUCUCGGUGUCAUGAUACCCAUCUUUGGUAUCGCUAUAUCACUGGAGUUGACCUUAAGUUUUUUCACUUCAGCAUUGUUAGGGGUAUUACAACUUUCAUGACCUCAAUGUCGUGAUACCCCGUUCUAAAUGAUAAUUUCCUCGAGUUUGGGCCAUUAUCAACUUCCUACACCAACUCAAUCAUAUCACUAGGUCCCCCAUGGCGCCAUUUGGGUCUUAAUAUGGCAUAAAACUAAUAAAAAUUAUUAAUUAAUAACAAAAACUAAAAAUCGACAAAAGUAAAGAAAAUACACUUAUAUUGCUUGAGAAUAAGCUCCUCGAGUGUAAUGGAAAGCCUAAUUUGACAUAUCAAAUUACGUCAGAUCACUUGUUCAGCACAGGUUCAAACCGUGUUACCCCCUUCCUCUACCCCUAAUAUUGUAUAAAAAAACUAAUUGCUAAUCUUCUAAUGUAGUCUCUGUACUAUAGUACUUAAUAGUUUAUAUAAUUUAAUUACUAAAUAAUUUUAUUUCUAAUUUAUCUUUUAUUUUUUUAAUCUCACACUCGCUUUGUAAUUGCUCGAUCAAAAUUUUGAACAACUCGAUUUAAUAAAUUUGAUCCCACAAUUAACUUUUCCGACAUUGAAAAAAAUCGAAUCAAUACAAUAUUAUAAAAAAAAAUUUUAAGUAUAGGUGUAGUUAGGAGUCCAUGUUUUUUUAUAUUAAUCUAGUUUGAAGAAAAAAUCAAAUAAUAAAAAGUAGCAAAUUUUAAAAAUUUAUUUUCCUAUAAAAAAAGUUGUUAAAUUAAAUUAUUAUCUUGAAUGAUGUUUUGGUAUAAAUUAUGCAUGGGUUCUUUUUAAAUCUAUUUUGAUUUAAAUUUCGUUGUGUGUGGACCAUAUUGAUUUAUAAUAUGUUUGGUUUGUGUUUUGUUUUUUUUUAAAAUAAAUUUGGGCUAAACUGGUGAACGAAAUAUAUCUUUAGAUGCUAAAUAGAAAUUAAAAAUUUAAAUAACCAAAACAAAUAUAUAUAUAUAUAUAUAUAUAUAUAUAAAAAUUCAAGAGCUCAAACAUGAAUAAAGGCUAAUAAAUUUUGUGAUAAUUUUCUCUCACCUAUAGGCAAAUAAUUUCAAAAAAUAAAUUAUUUGAUAUAUUAUUAAUAAAUUUUAAAAUUUUUAUUUAUGAAUUUAAUAAAAUGUUAUAAUUUUUACUAAAAUGAAAUAUAUUAAAAUAAUGUAACAAAAUUCAUAUUUUGAUUUAUUUGUGAAAAUUAAAAAUCUCAUCAAGUUUAUAUAAAAAUGUACUUUUUAUUUUAAAUAAACGAUAGAAUCAUUUGGUUGCACCGAAGUGCCUAUGUGUUGGGUCGGAUAGCACACAAAAUUUUCCUAAAGCUCUUGCCUAAGCAUUAUUUAGGAUGAUGGGCUUUGAUUGAUCUGUUAGCCCAAAAGGUUAUAUUAAUAUAUAUUUUAUAAUUAAAUUUAAAUAUAUUUUUUUAUUUUUAAAUGUGCUUCAGCACACUGAAAUUCACAAUAAUAACAAACGUUAAUUAAAUUAAUUAUUUAAAUACUAACUUUUUAUAAAUAAUGAUUUCGAUUUACAUGUUGAUCUAAGUCAUGCAAAAUGUCUAACGUACCAAUUUAUAUAACCAAAGAAAAUACUUUAAUUUGUAGUGUAAGCUACACCAUUAGUCAAUAAAUUAUUAAUACAUUUUUAUUUUGGUCAUUGAACUACUUAAAAGUUCUCAUUUAAGUCAUUAGACUGUUAAAAUCGAUGCUACAUGGUUUUCUCAAUUCGCAUUGCUUGCGCUAAUCGAAAGCUCUCUUUCUCAUUUUCUUCUACAGUUGAGUUUUUUUUUUAUGAAACAAUUUUGGAUGUUACAAAUCUAAAAAACCAAAAUUUAAACAACUUUUCCCUCCGAUCUCUUACAUUGAUCAUCACAUUGAUCUGGAUCUAAAGUAUGUUCUUUUACUCGUCAAUGGAUAUUGAUCCACAUACUGAUCCUCGAAUUGUUGCUUGAAACUCGCUGGUGGAACUUAAAAAAAAAAACUUAAUAACUUAGUGACUUAAAUAAAAACUCUUGAAUAGUUCAGUGACUUAAAUGAAAAUUUUAAAAUAGUUCAAUGACCAAAUUAUAAUUUUUUAGUUAAGUGACCAAAACAAAAAUUUACCCAUAAUUGUGUAUUUUUCACUAAUUUGUAUCACUAAAUUACUUUAAGGGAUAUUGAGGAGUGACAAUACUUGUUACAGAUAGGCAAAGUUUUCAUCAAAAUUUGAAAAAAAACCUAGUGCAAUAGUUAUAUAAACUUUAGGGUAAAUUACAUCAAUUGUCCCUAAUCUUUAAUUAAAAUUAUAUUUUAGUCACGUAACUUUCAAAAGUUACAUAAUUGUCAUUAAAGUUAUCGAAAUGUUACAUUUUAACCACUCAUCAUUUAACUUUCGUUAAGAAGAUGAUGUGGCACAUUAAUUUAACGGGUUAGUCCCUGAACAAUAAUUAAAAUAUCAAAUUGACACUUUUAAAAUUUUUCUUUAUAAUAAUUCUAAAAAAUUUAAAGGGUAAACUACUCCAAUAGUCACUUAAGUUUUAAUGCGUUCCUAUUUUGGUUACCAGAUUUUUUUUUUUGUUAAUUUAGUCAUUUCCAUUAGAUUAAUUGUCAUUUUUAGUCACUCCAUCGUUAAAAUACAUUAGUCAUUGAACGGAAUGUUGAUGUGGCAAUCUUUUGAUUGGUAUAAUAACAAAUUUAGCCCUUAACACUUUACAUAUUCUGUUUACUUGGUCCUAUGUUGAAAAAAUAAACAAAUUUAACUCAAUGUUUACACAUUUUGUCAAUUUAGUCCAAAUUCAAAAAUUUUAUAAUUUUAAAAACUUGAAAAAAUAUAUAUAAUUUAUUAUAAAAAGACAUAAAACUAAAAAAAUAUUAAAAAAAUAUAUAAAAUUACUUGGUUGGGCUUUGAUUGUAGAUGAAACAAUUUAUACUUUUCUUUGGCUGAUGCAAACUUGGUUUAUAGCAAUGGGGGAAUAGGCUCCGCAAGUGAUGCUCACUGAUCAAAACAAUGCCAUAAAAGUAGUUGUAGCUGCUGUGUUUCCUGCUGCACGACGUUGUUUCUGUGUUAUGGCAUGUCUUGGGUGACUAUCUAAGUAAUUUACCCUUUAAAUUUUUUAGAAAAAGAUUAAAAGUAUCAAUUUGAUAUUAUAGUUAUAGUUCAGGGGCUAAAUUAGUUAUUAACCCUUUAAAUUAACAUGUCGCAUCAUUCUCUUAACGAAAGUUGGGUGAUUUUAAUCAAAUGUGCAGUUUAUCUUAUGUAUAAACACCGUAUUAAUAGAGUUUAAUAAAUAUUGUUUUCGUAUAUGUAGAUUAGAUCGCUCAAUAGUUGAAUAGGUUACAUAGAUGAGGAAGUUAGGUUUGUAUAAAAGAAGAUUGAAAUGAUUCAAUCAUUUUUGUGAAAUAAUAUUGAACAAAUAAAAUUUGAACAUUCAUAAUAUUUUCUCAAAAUUACGAACUUCAUCGCAUAAAAAGAAAACACGAGACUAACGACUGUUUCUCGUUUGUUGACCAAUAUUAUCCGGAAGUAGCUUUCAAAUGCUUAAAAAGUAACAGUGUAUUUUACAAUAUUAUCAGGCUACAUGGCCUCACUUUGUAUUCAAUAUAUAUUAUAAAAGAAAGCAAAGAACAAAAAUACAAAAUAAAUAAAGAAACUUACAUAGUGCUUUAACUUAUUACAAAGGGAUUUGUCUCCUUAGUAUGUUUCUACCAUGGGAGAUCGCCACUUUUAUCCCAACUAUCAGGUUAUCAUUACGUUGCCUUGGAGACAUCCUUACUUGACCUAUUGUACUUCAUAUGGCUCCUAACUAGUUGUCCUGCUGAAAUUGCAGACAUGAGCGACAGCUCCCCGGCAAGAACAGCAGACGCUACAAUGGUUGCUAGCGUCCUAGAGUUUGCCCCCGGUGUCUCUUUGCUUGCACCCUUCACUCCAAGUAAGUUCAAACAGGCUGAUUGAGAUGCAAGCUGAGUUCCACCACCAACAGUCCCAACCUAAAAGAUACAGCAACACAGAUAAUUAGGGACUAACAUAAAUAUCCAGAUUUUGUUUUGGCAACGUAAGUCCCUGUGUUGGAUAAUCAGACAGCAACACUAUCAAUUACCUCGAUGGAAGGCAUUGUGACAGAGAUGUGGAGAUCCUUGCCAUCAUUAACAGCUUCCAUCAUCGUGAUGCAAUGCGAGCUCUCGACGUUUUGAGCCGGAUCUUGGCCGGUAGCUAUGUAGAUUGCAGCAACGAUGUUACUGGCGUGAGCGUUAAAUCCACCCAGAGCUCCAGCCAUAGCUGAUCCAGUAAGGUUCUUCAGCAUGUUAAGCUCAACGAGAGAUUCCACACUUGUCUUCAAGACCUUCCUAACCACAUCACCCUUAAUGGUGGCUUCACAGACAACAGAUUUGCCUCGUCCUUCAAUCCAAUUUACCGCAGCCGGUUUUUUGUCGGAACAAUAGUUUCCUAUAUGCACAAAUUCAUAAAUAUCAGUGAUCCUAUGUCGGACAGUAAAAAGACAUAAUUGCAAGCCUAUACAAAAAAAUGAAACUCACCAGAGAUGCCAAUGACAUCCAUGUCAGGGAAAUCAGUUUGAAGGAAAUCCAAAACGUUUUGCACUCCCUUGGAAACCAUGUUCAUCCCCAUAGCAUCACCUGUACUGCAAGUGAAUCUAAUAUACAGAUUCUUUCCAGCAAUUGCACAUUUGAUACCCUGGAGCCUGCCAAAUCUACUUGAUCUGCAACCACCAAAAAGCCAAAAUUUUCAAUAUUAGCUUGAAUUUUAAAUCAAUCAAUAUGGAGUUCUAGAAAUACACAAACAAACCUGUUGAAAACAACAGACAAGGUCUCGAAAUUAUCAGGGUCCUCCAAAUACAACUUCAAAUCAGCUGCCCUUUUCGCAGUACCGAACCUUACACAUGGAGCUCUUGUCAUACCAUCUUUCAAUAGAACACUUGUAGCUCCACCAGACAAAUGAAUAGCCUUACAGCCCCUAUUAGUGCUAGCCACCAAGCACCCUUCCGUGGUUGCCAUAGGAACCGAGUACUCUCUUCCAUUAACCAACAAAGGCCCGGCAAUUCCAACGGGAAUUUGCACGUAGCCAACCGGCAUCUCACAACACUGCCCUAAAAUCGACUCGUAAUCAAACCCAUCCAAGGGCAAUCCAGAUAACGACUUCCCUGUUAAUCUUUGCAACGCUUCCCGCCUGAUUGCAGCCGCCCUCUUGCAAUCACCCAAUUUCGAUUCCAAGGAAUACGAAGGGGUUGUACCAGCCACUACAGAUUUAAUUAUUUCUUCAUCUUCCUCCGUUAGUACCGUCACAGGCUUUUCAUCGAACACCUUCUGAAUGGUCACGAUUGGUGCCGCAGGAGGCAGAGGUGGAAGCGAACAAUCGAGAGCUUGCCCGCAAGGGACCUUACGGGCUUCUUCCUUUGCAAGCAGAACUUCAUCAUCCUCUUCCUCGUCCUCGGCAAUCCAAACGUCAGGCGAUGGUUGGAAAACCAAAGAUUGAACGAAGUCAAUUCCAAAGAAACCCAAAAGGUAAAUAAAGGACGCGAAAAAUGAGAGAAUGGCGAUGAUCUCGGAAAAGGUGACGACAUGGAGAGGUGUGGAGGUACGGAUCUUCUCACGCCAACGGGAAAGAAGAAAAUAAACCACCGAGAAGAAGAGGGUGAAGAACAGGGCGUUCGUUAGGUACAAGGGAAGCGGCAGUGCGUCGGAGGCUUUACCGGUAUCUUCCUCUAAAGGAAUCUUUUUCGUUGGCUUGAGAGAUUGAACAGGUUUAGUAGAAGAUAGCCGGUGAGCCUCCAUUUUGGGUGUCGACGGUGGCGGAAGCCCGAGACGAACGGAAAUGAGAGACAGCCGACGAUUUCAAUUAGUUUUCAGAGAAGGG